AGGGUUUGAUCAUGGCUCAGGAUGAACGCUGGCGGCGUGCUUAACACAUGCAAGUCGAACGAACCUUCGGGUUAGUGGCGGACGGGUGAGUAACGCGUGAGAAUCUGCCCUCAGGAGGGGGAUAACGGUUGGAAACGACCGCUAAUACCCCAUAUGCCGAUAGGUGAAAUGAAUUUCGCCUGAGGAUGAGCUCGCGUCUGAUUAGCUAGUUGGUGAGGUAAUGGCUCACCAAGGCUUCGAUCAGUAGCUGGUCUGAGAGGAUGAUCAGCCACACUGGGACUGAGACACGGCCCAGACUCCUACGGGAGGCAGCAGUGGGGAAUUUUCCGCAAUGGGCGAAAGCCUGACGGAGCAACGCCGCGUGAGGGACGAAGGCCUCUGGGCUGUAAACCUCUUUUCUCAAGGAAGAAGAUAUGACGGUACUUGAGGAAUAAGCCACGGCUAAUUCCGUGCCAGCAGCCGCGGUAAUACGGGAGUGGCAAGCGUUAUCCGGAAUUAUUGGGCGUAAAGCGUCCGCAGGCGGCUUAUCAAGUCUGCUGUUAAAGCGUGGAGCUUAACUCCAUCAUGGCAGUGGAAACUGAUAGGCUUGAGUAUGGUAGGGGCAGAGGGAAUUCCCGGUGUAGCGGUGAAAUGCGUAGAUAUCGGGAAGAACACCAGUGGCGAAGGCGCUCUGCUGGGCCAUUACUGACGCUCAUGGACGAAAGCCAGGGGAGCGAAAGGGAUUAGAUACCCCUGUAGUCCUGGCCGUAAACGAUGAACACUAGGUGUCGGGGGAAUCGACCCCUUCGGUGUCGUAGCUAACGCGUUAAGUGUUCCGCCUGGGGAGUACGCACGCAAGUGUGAAACUCAAAGGAAUUGACGGGGGCCCGCACAAGCGGUGGAGUAUGUGGUUUAAUUCGAUGCAACGCGAAGAACCUUACCAGGGUUUGACAUCCUGCGAACCUCUUAGAAAUUUGAGGGUGCCUUCGGGAAUGCAGUGACAGGUGGUGCAUGGCUGUCGUCAGCUCGUGUCGUGAGAUGUUGGGUUAAGUCCCGCAACGAGCGCAACCCACGUUUUUAGUUGCCAGCAUUUAGUUGGGCACUCUAGAAAGACCGCCGGUGAUAAACCGGAGGAAGGUGUGGAUGACGUCAAGUCAUCAUGCCCCUUACACCCUGGGCUACACACGUACUACAAUGCUACGGACAAAGGGCAGCAAACUCGCGAGAGCUAGCAAAUCCCAUAAACCGUGGCUCAGUUCAGAUCGUAGGCUGCAACUCGCCUACGUGAAGUAGGAAUCGCUAGUAAUCGCAGGUCAGCAUACUGCGGUGAAUACGUUCCCGGGCCUUGUACACACCGCCCGUCACACCAUGGAAGUUGGCCAUGCCCGAAGUCGUUACUCCAACCCUUGUGGAGGAGGACGCCGAAGGUGGGGCUAAUGACUGGGGUGAAGUCGUAACAAGGUAACCGUA
rnacentral:rRNA from 1 species